rnacentral:rRNA from 1 species
GAGUUUGAUCGUGGCUCAGAUUGAACGCUGGCGGCAUGCCUUACACAUGCAAGUCGAACGGUAACAGGUCUUCGGAUGCUGACGAGUGGCGAACGGGUGAGUAAUACAUCGGAACGUGCCCGAUCGUGGGGGAUAACGAAGCGAAAGCUUUGCUAAUACCGCAUAAGAUCUACGGAUGAAAGCAGGGGACCGCAAGGCCUUGCGCGAACGGAGCGGCCGAUGGCAGAUUAGGUAGUUGGUGGGAUAAAAGCUUACCAAGCCGACGAUCUGUAGCUGGUCUGAGAGGACGACCAGCCACACUGGGACUGAGACACGGCCCAGACUCCUACGGGAGGCAGCAGUGGGGAAUUUUGGACAAUGGGCGAAAGGCCUGAUCCAGCCAUGCCGCGUGCAGGAUGAAGGCC